rnacentral:misc_RNA from 1 species
AUCGGAUACUCAGCUAACAGCUAUUGUUUAGAUUAUAUUAUGAGCAUUGAAAGUUGUAGUUUUUAGCAGAAAUCACUAAAACACAUCAUUAGCAUUAGCUUUCAUAUUUUUCAUUAUUCUAAAUUCUGUUUUGUAUAGUAUAUAGUAACAAUAUCCCACCCGACACCAUUUCAAAUAUUCCCGCUGAAACUAAUUAAAUCAAGCUGGGGCAGCGCCCGUUCGAGAUGGCCAUGAAUGGUUGGAUCUGCUUUGAGAGCCUCCUGGCAUAUCUCCCUUUGGUGCACGCCCCAUGACAGAUGACCACUUCAUGAACCCAUGCAUUUUAAUCCGCAGGCUGCAGUCCGGGCUCUUUUGGCCUGGCCAAAAAACAAUGCCCAUGCGGCCCAAAAGGGUUGGGAUCCUGCAUCCGGCCUGGCUUCAGGGAUCUUUAAGGAUGGGUAUGCCGGUGGUCCGAAGACCAGUCCGGGUGGAUAAUGAUGGAAGUGCACUCGGCCUGGCUCGCGAAUCCUUUUUGUCUGUCCCUUUUAUGUCCCAGUCAAAUUACCUCAAUAGCUGGAGAAAAGGGCAAAGAGUGUGGUGAGGAAAAUCCUUUUUUCUCGGCCCUUUAAGGCUAUGGAAAGUAAAAUGUAUAAUGUGUAUUCUUCUGCAAAGGGGGAAUUAUUUAAGCGGGCUUAAUAAAAAAACGCUCUGCGUAAUGCAAGGAAAUAAUGUACCUAUAGUCAAGGGAUAAUCAUGGAUUAAUAACACAACACAAUUGGACAGCUUUAUUAUAUUUUUAGUUGCUGCAUUUAUAAGUAACUAAUAGU